rnacentral:rRNA from 1 species
GAUGAACGCUGGCGGCGUGCCUAAUACAUGCAAGUCGAGCGAACGGACGAGAAGCUUGCUUCUCUGAUGUUAGCGGCGGACGGGUGAGUAACACGUGGAUAACCUACCUAUAAGACUGGGAUAAAUUCGGGAAACCGGAGCGAAUACCGGAUAAUAUUUUGAACCGCAUGGUUCAAAAGUGAAAGACGGUCUUGCUGUCACUUGUAGAUGGAUCCGCGCUGCAUUAGCUAGUUGGUAAGGUAACGGCUUACCAAGGCAACGAUGCAUAGCCGACCUGAGAUGGUGGUCAGCCACACUGGAACUGAGACACGGUCCAGACUCCUACGGGAGGCAGCAGUAGGGAAUCUUCCGCAAUGGGAGAAAGCCUGACGGGGCAACGCCGCGUGGGUGAUGAAGGUCUUCGGAUAUUAAAACUCUGUUAUUAGGGAAGAACAUAUGUGUAAGUAACUGUGCACAUCUUGACGGUACCUAAUCAGAAAGCCACGGCUAACUACGUG